UGCCCGGAACCUGUGCCGGAGCAAUAAAGCCAGCUGGAAUUAUUACUAAAACCGAUACCGCCUGGAUCCACGGACCGGGACGGAAGG
rfam:Desulfuromonadaceae bacterium GWC2_58_13 gwc2_scaffold_3863, whole genome shotgun sequence.